rnacentral:rRNA from 1 species
UACGUAGGGGGCAAGCGUUGUCCGGAUUCAUUGGGCGUAAAGAGCGUGUAGGCGGCCAGGUAGGUCGGUUGUGAAAACUGGAGGCUCAACCUUCAGAGGUCGACCGAAACCAUCUGGCUAGAGCCCGGGAGAGGAGAGUGGAAUUCCUGGUGUAGCGGUGAAAUGCGCAGAUAUCAGGAAGAACACCCGUGGCGAAAGCGGCUCUCUGGAACGGUACUGACGCUGAGACGCGAAAGCGUGGGGAGCGAACAGG